UAAUGUCUGGGAAACUGCCUGAUGGAGGGGGAUAACUACUGGAAACGGUAGCUAAUACCGCAUAACGUCGCAUGACCAAAGUGGGGGACCUUCGGGCCUCAUGCCAUCAGAUGUGCCCAGAUGGGAUUAGCUAGUAGGUGGGGUAACGGCUCACCUAGGCGACGAUCCCUAGCUGGUCUGAGAGGAUGACCAGCCACACUGGAACUGAGACACGGUCCAG
rnacentral:rRNA from 1 species